rnacentral:lncRNA from 1 species
AUGAAGAAGGCCAACACCCAGCAGACUUUAGUAGAUAAGCUCUCACAAUUAGUUUGCGGCAGAGUUGAGACUGGAACCCAAGCCUCUGAACUCCUAAUCCAGAGAAUUUGCUGUCAGACAGGCCCUUCCUGUCCACCUUUAGGCACCUUUGGGCACCUGGUGCAGAGAGCCCAUUGGAAGCUGUGGGAAGAGUUGGAGGUCAUCAGAGCAGGCAGACUAAGAAUUUUAAUAAAACCCCCAGAUCUUGACUUUCAAAUAUUCUGGAGUUCCAGAUUUUCUUCACUGCAUCCGGUAUGUGUGUCUUUAAAGAACUGGAGUUCUUGUCCAGGUUAUUUCCCACAUUAUUGGCUAGACUUUCUCCCUGGAGAAAAUUUAACUUUGGCUCUAUUGCACGUAGCAUGACUUUAAUCAGGAGGAAUGUUAAGAAUCGAUAUACUUCUUAAACUGUGCUACAGUCCAUUUGUUGACAUGAGAUGUCUUUAUUAUAAGCAAUGGUUCAUGGGAUUACUUUUUCUCUUUACCCCGUAGAAGAAGAAUAAUCAGGUUAUAUUUAAGCUCCUUCUUGAUUUUCUUUAUCU